rnacentral:rRNA from 1 species
UACGGGGGGGGUAAGCGUUGUUCGGAAUUACUGGGCGUAAAAGGCUCGUAGGCGGCCAACUAAGUCAUACGUGAAAUCCCUCAGCUUAACUGGGGAACUGCGUGUGAUACUGGAUGGCUUGGAUUUGGGAGAGGGAUGCGGAAUUCCAGGUGUAGCGGUGAAAUGCGUAGAUAUCUGGAGGAACACCGGUGGCGAAGGCGGCAUCCUGGACCAAUAUUGACGCUGAGGAGCGAAAGCCAGGGGAGCAAACGGG